CCUACGGGUGGCAGCAGUGGGGAAUAUUGCACAAUGGGCGGAAGCCUGAUGCAGCGACGCCGCGUGAGGGAUGACGGCCUUCGGGUUGUAAACCUCUUUCAGCAGGGACGAAGCGUAAGUGACGGUACCUGCAGAAGAAGCACCGGCUAACUACGUGCCAGCAGCCGCGGUAAUACGUAGGGUGCG
rnacentral:rRNA from 1 species